rnacentral:lncRNA from 1 species
UUUUUUCUAAUGGACCUUUUUCUUUUAAUUUUGAUGGUAAUGCUAUAUUUUUCCUUCUAUUCAUAGAGAGGCAAUGAUGAUUUUUCCAAGUGGGGCUUGAUGGGUCCCCCGGCCACCAUAGUGUUUGAAUGGGUGGCUGAGUAUGUAAUGAAGCGGUGCAAUGUAAUCUAUCAUACUACUGGUACUACCACUGGCAUGAAGAUUUAUUGCUAUCACAUACAAUGCUACUACUAGUAGUAGGAGGCAUGGAGGUCUACUGGUGUCCAAUGGCACUAUUUUUAGAGCUUUCUUACCUUGAUGAGGCAAGACUUGGAUGGCCUGUUGUUUUGCAGGUAACCUGUCGUAGCUAUUUCUUCAUGAAAAUAUUUCAUGUCCCCAAAAUCUCUCCAAGAUGUGUUCAACUCAUGUUUUUUUUCUUUUUUUUUUUGUAUUUGUCAAAUGUGAAGCUGGCAUUUUGGCCUCUAAUUAACUAUUAAUCCCCUGUAUAUAGUUCUAAAAAAAGGGUUUACAUCCAUUUUAGGGAGCUUCAGCAGCAAUCUUUCUUCAUAUAUGUCAUUUAGAGGGAUUUUCCUCUAAGAUUUUUUAUCCUAGCGGGACAGAGGGUACCUUGGCUGUCCCAUCCCAUUCUGUGAGAAAAUGAGAUCGGGAUGGGGUCGGAACUUCGAAAUCUAUCUAUGCAAGGAGAGAAGAAGAAUGAGGAAAAAAAAGAAGAAUGAAAAAAAAGGAGAAUGAAGAAAAAGAAAAGGUGAAAGAAAAGAAGAAGAAAAAUAAAAUAAAGAAUGGGAGGUAGAAGAAAAGAAAGGAAGAAAAAAAGGAAGAAAGAAAAGCGAAAGAAGAAGAAAAAGAAAAAAAAGAAAGGAAGUGGUAAGAAGAAAAUAGUAAAAUAAAAGGAAAGAAAGAAAGGUAAAAGAAAAAAAAGAAUAGAAGAAAGAAAAAGAAAAAAAAAAGAAGAAAAAGAAAGAAGAAGUGAAGAGAGAUAGAGGAUAUCUAUUGGGAUAGCUAUUGUGGGAUGGGACAAAAUAAAUGGGACAUUCUGUUUUAUAGAGAUACUGGGAUAUCUCUGUCCCAUAAGAUUUAAAAUCUUGCUUUUCUCAUUCUUGUCAUAGAUGAUAUCUGAUAAAAUGAAUUGAUCUGAACCUCCUUUCUUUUCUUUAAAGCAUAUGUUCCUUUUCUUGCUCUUCCUGUUUCUCAUCUUUUUCUUUCUUAGAGCAGUUUUAUUUUAGCAAAUUGCUGUUGUGGAUGCAUCUAUCGUUCGGACAUACUGGACUUACAUAACCAUGCUAUAUACGUAGGGCCUCGGCGCCUCCGUGUGCUGUUAAAGUUUGCAUAGACAUGUAUCUGUUUUCGUUCAUUAUUACAAUGUCUGUAUCAAUCAAGCUAAAUGUGUGCAUUCAUUUCGAGGUGGUCUUGUACAGUCCGAACAAACUGUUUUUAUUUAAAAAAAAAGAGAGAGACUCUUUUUCCUGCAAAAGUGGAUUAAUGUGGAUUCCUUUUUCUGCUGAAGCUCUUUUUUCAGUAAAAAUUACAUCAUUUUACUUUAUUUCCAAAGUUCAUGCUGGGGACACUCGAAGUUCCAGAAGAAUCACCUCAGUAUCUUCUCCAACUCUUUAUUUAUUUAUUCAUCUAUUUGUUUACUAGUUCUACAUUCUAAUAUGUUGUUUUGGAGCUAACAGUUUGUCGAUCUAAUUAGCCUUGUCCCUGAUGGUCCUUUUUCCAUCCAUUUUGUAAUAUGAAAUGUUUCUAAAAUUAUAUGAUAUCCUUUUGCUAAUCCAUAAGACAUGAAAAUAAACACCGUAUGCUGAUUUGUAACCUGUAUGGCUGUGCUUUUCCCUGUUGCUCCAGUUUUGAUUAUUUUUGCCUGGAGGAUUCGGUGGUGGGAGAAGGUUGCACACAGUGUGCUACAAAUGGUUGGUCCACAUGGUUGCCACUUCUACAUGCUAGCCGUUUGUCGUAUUACAUAUUAUUCCUACUGCUGCUGCUCUUGCUGCCUUUUGAUUUAAUUUCAUUUUGAGACAGGGAUGAUUUCCCAGGCCUUUCUCUAUCAGGUUAAUUUGAAGCACCCUGAUACUGGAUACUUUGCACCUCUAGGAGGUAGUGCUGUGCUCAGCACAUACGACCACAAUCGUUGGAAAUCCAAACAAUCAGGUUACGAGGCAAAUUUGGCACUAUUCUUGAGGUUGACCGGUUCCAUCAAUUUUUGGUUGAAUUAUUGAGGUGUAGUGUGCUUUUGUAAGGGGUAAGUUAUGUGCUUCACUGUUCCUCGUGAUGGCAUGGCAAAUUGGAUGGUUUACUUUUCCAUGUGCAGCCAGGUGAAGCCACUAGGUGCUUCUCAUUGGACUGUCAUUAAAUUCUUGCUUAAUUAAUAAAGAACGCCAGGUCUCUUGAGGACCUUGCUUAAUUAGU